AGUGUUGGCCGAAUUUCAGCUCAAGGAAGAGAGAGAGAGAGAGCUCCCAAAUCAGGUUUUCUUACCUAAACAAAUCAAAGACCAAAAUUCAAGAGAGGAAUUUAGGGUUUGCAAGGAAGCUUUCUUUGUUUUAGUGUUGAAUCCCAACCUUGGAGCCUCUACUUGGUGGAUUUCUUGGUGAUUUGAACACCUUGUAAGUAAGGAUCGGGAAACAGAGGUGACUGUAACUGAAUCAUUUGAAGUUGAUAAUGACUUUUGUUUGACAGAGCGGGAAGGCUUUUGAUCAAAGGCAUACUUAGCUUUAUUUUGCCGUUUUGCGUUUUGAG